rnacentral:rRNA from 1 species
UACAGAGGGGGCAAGCGUUGUUCGGAAUUACUGGGCGUAAAGGGCGCGUAGGCGGCCUGCUAAGUCGAACGUGAAAUCCCCGGGCUCAACCCGGGAACUGCGUCCGAUACUGGCAGUCUUGAAUCCGGGAGAGGGAUGUGGAAUUCCAGGUGUAGCGGUGAAAUGCGUAGAUAUCUGGAGGAACACCGGUGGCGAAGGCGGCAUCCUGGACCGGCAUUGACGCUGAGGCGCGAAAGCCAGGGGAGCAAACGGG